GUCUACGGCUAUGCCACUCUGAACAAGCCCAAUCCCAUCUGAUCUCAGAACCUAAGCAGGGUUGAGCCUGGUUACUGUUUAGAUGGGAGACUACCUAGGAAGAUCAGGUGCUGUAGGCA
rnacentral:rRNA from 1 species